rnacentral:rRNA from 1 species
UACGCCCGAUCUCGUCCGAUCUCGGAAGCUAACCAAGGUCGGGCCUGGUUAGUACUUUGAUGGGAAACUUCCUGCGAAUACCAGGUGCUGUAAGCUUGCUUACGGCCAUACCAGCCUG